GACGAACGCUGGCGGCGUGCUUAACACAUGCAAGUCGAACGGAAAGGCCCUGCUUGCAGGGUACUCGAGUGGCGAACGGGUGAGUAACACGUGGGUGAUCUGCCCUGCACUUCGGGAUAAGCUUGGGAAACUGGGUCUAAUACCGGAUAGGAGCCAUCUUUAGUGUGGUGGUUGGAAAGUUUUUUCGGUGUAGGAUGAGCUCGCGGCCUAUCAGCUUGUUGGUGGGGUAAUGGCCUACCAAGGCGGCGACGGGUAGCCGGCCUGAGAGGGUGUACGGCCACAUUGGGAUUGGGAAACGGCCCAGACUCCAACGGGAGGCAGCAGUGGGGAAUAUUGAAAAAUGGGCGCAAGCCUGAUGCAGCGACGCCGCGUGGGGAUGAAGGCCUUCGGGUUGUAAACUCCUUUCGCUAGGGACGAAGCUUUGUUGUGACGGUACCUAGAUAAGAAGCACCGGCUAACUACGUG
rnacentral:rRNA from 1 species